GCCCGCCCCCCGCCGCCGCCGCCGCCGCCGCGGGCGCACUCGCCGGUCGCAGUGAAAAGGCGGAGGCGGCGGCCGCUCGGGCUCGGCUCCCGUUCCCAGUGCCUCCCCCGCCGCACCCCCUCCCCACAUCCCGCACCCGCCAAACUUGAUGUGACCCCAGCCUGACGCGGCGGCUGCCCCUCUCACCGCCCCGUGCGCCCCCCACCGCCACUCCGCCCCGCACUCCCGGAGCGCACCGCUCACCGCGCCCCUUCCCACCUCCUCGCCGGGGCCGGGCGCCGCGCUCGCCCUCAGCGUUCCCUUCCCCUCGCCACCCCCACCCCACCCCCCGCACCAUGAGCAACCUGAAGCCGGACGGCGAGCACAGCACCAGCACGGGCACGGGCACGGGCUCGGGCUCCGGUGGCACUCUGGAGGAAGAGGUCCGAACACUAUUCGUCAGUGGCCUCCCUGUGGACAUUAAACCCAGAGAACUCUACCUGCUCUUCAGGCCGUUCAAGGGGUAUGAAGGGUCCCUGAUCAAACUCACAUCGAGACAGCCUGUUGGUUUUGUGAUCUUUGACAGCCGAGCAGGAGCAGAAGCAGCCAAGAAUGCAUUGAAUGGUAUUCGCUUUGAUCCUGAGAACCCGCAGACCCUGAGGCUAGAGUUUGCCAAAGCCAACACCAAGAUGGCCAAGAACAAGCUAAUGGCUACACCAAAUCCUACCAACGCUCACCCCGCCCUAGGAGCACACUUCAUUGCACGGGACCCCUAUGACCUUAUGGGGGCUGCUCUGAUCCCCGCAUCCCCAGAGGCCUGGGCCCCCUACCCUCUGUACACCACAGAGCUGACCCCAGCCAUCUCACACGCUGCAUUCACCUACCCAGCUGCCACUGCUGCUGCCGCUGCCGCCCUACAUGCUCAGGAUGAAGAAACUGAUGCCUAGAGGUGAGUAAGUGGCCCGGCGUCUGCCAGUCAGUGACAGAACCAGGACUCCAGCAGGGACACUGAAGACUCCCCAGUCAAGAGAAGGGACUGCACAGCUAGCUCCUGACGUUGGCUUCUCUUGCAGGUCUUGUCACCGCAGCUUGAAGCCCCUGCCCCGCUGGGGAGGAAGCCGCUCUGAGCUUCCACUGCCCCCAGGCGGCCUGUGGAGAGCUGCUGCUUCCCUCCAAAGACUGUGAAUUUUAAGCCUGACUCAGUGGACUGCUUCCUGUUUCCUUUCUCCUCUUCCUCAGCCCUGUCCUUCCCCAAAGCUCCUCGCCAAGGCCUCCCGGGAGGAUUCAGGGGCCUUCUUGCAGGGACACCCAGCCCCAGGCCGGAGGUCUCACUGGGACUGAGCAAGGCCUGACCCCCUGGGUCCAGACUUGCUUCCACAGCUCCACCUCAGAGAAACGAGGCAUUUAAUUUUGCAUGUUUUCUGGCAUGAAUUAAGACACUUAAAUUUGUGUAUAUGUGAGUGUACAGUUUGUUCUCACAUUGUGUCACCAUAGCAACAGGUCCUGGCCACCAAUGGUCCAUCAUUCCGGGUCCCUCUGUGCACACCCUCCCCUGCAGCCCCUGUCUCAGUGAGGACCAGCCCUGCAGCUCACCCCGCCCUGCGGUCCUGUAGCCUGGCGCCCCCACCACCCCCACGUGCUUCCAGGCCAAACAGCAGCCACCACCCGACAGAGAUAGUGUUUUCUUUUUCAUUUCAAAUCCGGGUCCUCUGCGUCCUCCUCAGAGGGGCCAACAACUGCUAAGAAAAUCCUUUCUCUGCCCAUUUUGCUUACCUCUCCACAGCGCACCCCACCCCUGCCCUGCUCCUCAUUCUUUCCGUACUUCAAAACCAACCAAAAAGUGAAAGUAUUUUUGUACCCUGUGUAACAAAAUAUUUAUGCAUCAUAAAGGAUUUUUCGUGUGUGUGUGCAAUUAAUUAUUAAAGAGACCUUGUUCGCCUUGUCAGAUAAGUUUAAUGUUUAGUUUGAGGCAUGAAGAAAAAAAGGGUUUCCGUUCUCCAGCAAUGAGCCUUUGUUUCAGGCGUUAGUUUCAGAAAAAUGAAGGAAAAAAAAUUGUGCAAUUUUUUUGUUUCAUGAGCACAUCAGUGCUUUUGCCUUUGGCCGCAGCUGUGUGGCUGUCUUGCCGUUUUCAGACUUGGGAGACGAGGUGGCUGUUGUAAUUGCUGAUCCUGUGAGAAUGUGAAGCUGGAUAAUAUAUGAAAUGCAAAAUAAAAAGUCAUCCAAAGUAA